rnacentral:rRNA from 1 species
GGGUUGUGAGGUUAAGCGACUAAGCGUACACGGUGGAUGCCCUGGCAGUCAGAGGCGAUGAAGGACGUGCUAAUCUGCGAAAAGCGUCGGUAAGGUGAUAUGAACCGUUAUAACCGGCGAUGUCCGAAUGGGGAAACCCAGUGCAAUUCGUUGCACUAUCGUUAACUGAAUACAUAGGUUAACGAGGCGAACCGGGGGAACUGAAACAUCUAAGUACCC